UACAGAGGGUGCGAGCGUUGUCCGGAAUUACUGGGCGUAAAGGGCGCGUAGGUGGCUCGAUAAGUAGGAGGUGAAAUCUCACGGCUCAACCGGGAGGCUGCCUUCUAGACUGUCGAGCUCGAGCAUGGUAGAGGCAGAUGGAAUUCCCGGUGUAGCGGUGGAAUGCGUAGAGAUCGGGAAGAACACCAGUGGCGAAGGCGGUCUGCUGGGCCAUAGCUGACACUGAAUCGCGACAGCGUGGGGAGCAAACAGG
rnacentral:rRNA from 1 species